GGGAAACUGCCCGAUGGAGGGGGAUAACUACUGGAAACGGUAGCUAAUACCGCAUAACGUCGCAAGACCAAAGUGGGGGACCUUCGGGCCUCACACCAUCGGAUGUGCCCAGAUGGGAUUAGCUAGUAGGUGGGGUAAUGGCUCACCUAGGCGACGAUCCCUAGCUGGUCUGAGAGGAUGACCAGCCACACUGGAACUGAGACACGGUCCAGACUCCUACGGGAGGCAGCAGUGGGGAAUAUUGCACAAUGGGCGCAAGCCUGAUGCAGCCAUGCCGCGUGUAUGAAGAAGGCCUUCGGGUUGUAAAGUACUUUCAGCGGGGAGGAAGGCGGUGAAGUUAAUAGCUUCACCGAUUGACGUUACCCGCAGAAGAAGCACCGGCUAACUCCGUGCCAGCAGCCGCGGUAAUACGGAGGGUGCAAGCGUUAAUCGGAAUUACUGGGCGUAAAGCGCACGCAGGCGGUCUGUCAAGUCGGAUGUGAAAUCCCCGGGCUUAACCUGGGAACUGCAUUCGAAACUGGCAGGCUAGAGUCUUGUAGAGGGGGGGUAGAAUUCCAGGU
rnacentral:rRNA from 1 species